UAAGGGUUAGUUUAAUUUAAAGAAUUGUUGACUGUUGAUCAAAAGGUAUUUACUCUUAG
rnacentral:tRNA from 2 species